rfam:Solanum tuberosum cultivar DM 1-3 516 R44 scf00599_3, whole genome shotgun sequence.
AUACCUUUCUCGGCCUUUUGGCUAAGAUCAAGUGUAGUAUCUGUUCUUAUCAGUUUAAUAUCUGAUAUGUGGGUCAUUGACUCACACGAUAUUAACUCAAUUUUUUAAGGGGGGAGGUCCAUCAAAGUAGCUUGCUACUUGGGCCUUCAUGCGUCGCCUAGGUUUUGCACUAUAGCCCAGGCCUGGCGCACCCCAC